rnacentral:lncRNA from 1 species
CAAAGAUUUAAGAAUACUUCAAGGAAACCUUAAAUGUUAUAUAAUGUAUGGUCCAGAGAAAAAUAAUUAAUAGCUUAAGUUUUAUUUGUAAAUACUGUAGUGUACCUAGUUUAUAUGUCACUUAUAAACCACCGAAGGUUAUUUCUGCAUAAUCUUUUCUUUUGUAUGGGUUUAACGCAGCAAAACAUGGGCUUAUUAUAAUUAGACUAUACUUAGAAUGUAAAUAAAUUUUCCCUAAAUAUUUUUUUACAAAUUUAUACUAAACAUAUAAAUUCUGAAUGAUGAACUUUUUAACUUUAAACGUGCAUGACAAAUAAAUGUUUGCGAUUGAUUUAUUAAAUCAUACCAUCAAAUGAUUGUUUAAUAACUUUGACUAUUGUCACAAUGUAACUCCAUUGAAUUUUAAAUAGAUAAUUUAUUUUUUGGUUUUUUUUUUCUCUUUUUUAUUUCAUAAUAUAAUUUAUACAAAGUGUACUCUACAUAUAUAUUAGGAUUUAGAAAUUUUAAAUUAUGUAUCCAAACAAUAAAUAGUGUUAUAAUUAUUCCAAUUUAAAAACAUUGAUAAGACGUUAUCAUCAAAUCGUGCCCUCAAAAAAGUAUAAUCACGUCUAACCUACAAAUUAUAGUACUAUGGAAAAAAAAGAAAUUCUUUCUUUAUAAUCGUGACGACUAUCAUUUGUGUUACCAAUGAUUUACUGUUCUGUUUAAGAUUUUUCACAUUAUAUUACGUAUUAUUAUUAUAUUUUGUUAUUUAAUGUCGCGCUUUUUUAUAUAAAUCAAAUGUGAAAUUUAUUUUCUUGUGAUAAUAAAUGCACAUACGGAAUAAUGUACAAUUGAGUAUGAAGAAUACUACCCAGCUCUAAAUUAAAAAAAUACAUGAAGCUUACAGAGGUACGUUUUGAAAUUCAUCAUCUUGUUUUUGAACUCGUGACGUUUUGCAGAAGGGACUUGUGAAAAGUGUUCCUCGGACGAAUUACUCUUCGGCGUAGAAGGAUUCGACUAUUAAAUGGUAACUAUAUUUAAUUUAUACUAGAUUAUUUAAUUCUGGUUUUGUUUUCUGUAAAUUAGUUUAUAAUAUAAUUUAUAAAUUUUAUAUUAAUUUUUAUUCGGUGAAGAAAGAUUGGCCCAUUAAAUAGUUGGACAUACUCAAGAAAAGAUGAAGAGUUUGAUUAGAAGAAGUAAUCUUCAUCUUUUUUUGAGUAUGACCAAAGAUUUAAGAAUACUUCAAGGAAACCUUAAAUGUUAUAAGGUAUGUUUCAGAAAAAAAGAAUUAAUAGCUUAACUAUGAUUUACUAAUAAACCACCUAAGAUUAUUUCCGCAUAGUCUUUUCUGGUUUAAGGGUUAUGCGCAUCAAAACGGGGGCUUAUCAAAAUUACACUAUACUUAGAAUGUAAAUAAAUUCACGCUUUUAAUUUUUAUUUUUUUAAAUAUAUUUAAUAGAAAAAAAUACUGAGAGAUUUACUGUAUAUUCUUUACUCUGAAUCACAUAUAAUAUUUUUUGAUUAAAUUAUUAAAUGAUACUAACAUCUAGUUGUUUAAUUACCAUAAUUUAUAUCAUAAGGUAAAUAUGGUGAAUUUAUACUCGAAAUUUUUCUGUAAAUUAGUUUAAAUAUUAUUUAUAAAUUUUGUAAUAUUUUCUCUUCAGGGUAGAAAGAUUGGCCCGUUAAAUGGUUGGACAUACUCAAGAAAAGAUGGAGAGUUUGAUUAAAAGAAGUAAUCUUCAUCUUUUUUUGAGUAUGACCAAAGAUUUAAGAAUACUUCAAGGAAACCUUAAAUGUUAUAAGGUAUGUUUCAGAAAAAAAGAAUUAAUAGCUUAACUAUAGUUACUAAGUUCAAUAGAAUGUAGUUUAUGAUUUACUAAUAAACCACCUAAGAUUAUUUCCGCAUAGUCUUUUCUGGUUUAAGGGUUAUGCGCAGCAAAUGGGGGCUUAUCAAAAUUACACUAUACUUAGAAUGUAAAUAAAUUUACGCUUUUAAUUUUUAUUUUUUUAAAUAUAUUUAAUAGAAAAAAAUACUGAGAGAUUUAAUGUGUAUUUUUUACUCUGCAUCACAAAUAAUAUUUUUUGAUUAAAUUAUUAAAUGACACUAACAUCUGUUUGUUUAAUUACCAUAAUUUAUAUCAUAAGGUAAAUAUAUUGAAUUUAUACUCGAAAUUUUUCUGUAAAUUAGUUAAUAAUAUUAUUUAUAAAUUUUGUAAUAUUUUCUCUUCAGGGUAGAAAGAUUGGCCCGUUAAAUGGUUGGACAUACUCAAGAAAAGAUGGAGAGUUUGAUUAAAAGAAGUAAUCUUCAUCUUUUUUUGAGUAUGACCAAAGAUUUAAGAAUACUUCAAGGAAACCUUAAAUGUUAUAAGGUAUGUUUCAGAAAAAAAGAAUUAAUAGCUUAACUAUAGUUACUAAGUUCAAUAGAAUGUAGUUUAUGAUUUACUAAUAAACCACCUAAGAUUAUUUCCGCAUAGUCUUUUCUGGUUUAAGGGUUAUGCGCAGCAAAACGGGGGCUUAUCAAAAUUACACUAUACUAAGAAUGUAAAUAAAUUUAUGCUUUUAAUUUUUAUUUUUUUAAUUAUAUUUAAUAGAAAAAAAUACUGAGAUAUUUAAUGUAUAUUCUUUACUCUGAAUCACAAAUAAUAUUUUUUGAUUAAGUUAUUAAAUGACANUUUACUAAUAAACCACCUAAGAUUAUUUCCGCAUAGUCUUUUCUGGUUUAAGGGUUAUGCGCAGCAAAACGGGGGCUUAUUAAAAUUACACUAUACUUAGAAUGUAAAUAAAUUCAAGCUUUCAAUUUUUAUUUUUUUAAAUAUAUUUAAUAGAAAAAAAUACUGAGAGAAGUAAUGUGUAUUUUUUACUCUGCAUUACAAAUAAUAUUAUUUGAUUAAAUUAUUAAUGACACUAACAUCUGAUUGUUUAAUUAUCUUAAUUUAUAUCAUAAGGUAAAUAUAUUGAAUUUAUACUCGAAAUUUUUCUGUAAAUUAGUUAAUAAUAUUAUUUAUAAAUUUUGUAAUAUUUUCUCU